AUAUCAAGAUUUGGAGACUUUUUAAAUAAGUCCUUGAACUUCUCCCAUGCCUUUGGAUAGCUCUCGAGGUCCUUCUACUUGAAAACAUGGACUUCAUUCAUAAAUUU
rnacentral:snoRNA from 1 species